GGGUGCAGCGGGUCGUGUGCGCUGCAGGCAGCUGGAUGGUCGGGCCGCCAUCC
rnacentral:ncRNA from 1 species